rnacentral:rRNA from 1 species
GAUGAACGCUAGCUACAGGCUUAACACAUGCAAGUCGAGGGGAAACGACAUCGAAAGCUUGCUUUUGAUGGGCGUCGACCGGCGCACGGGUGAGUAACGCGUAUCCAACCUGCCCAUCACUUGGGAAUAACCUUGCGAAAGUAAGACUAAUACCCAAUGACAUCCCACGAAGACAUCUGAAUGGGAUUAAAGAUUUAUCGGUGAUGGAUGGGGAUGCGUCUGAUUAGCUUGUUGGCGGGGUAACGGCCCACCAAGGCAACGAUCAGUAGGGGUUCUGAGAGGAAGGUCCCCCACAUUGGAACUGAGACACGGUCCAAACUCCUACGGGAGGCAGCAGUGAGGAAUAUUGGUCAAUGGGCGAGAGCCUGAACCAGCCAAGUAGCGUGCAGGAUGACGGCCCUAUGGGUUGUAAACUGCUUUUAUAAGGGAAUAAAGUGGGUCUCGUGAGACUUUUUGCAGGUACCUUAUGAAUAAGGACCGGCUAAUUCCGUG